AUCUUCUCCGCGAAAGUUCGUGAAAGUAGUUCAAUCUUGAUGUGAGAUUUAUUUUAUAGAGAUAAAAGUACGAGAGUCUCCGGAAGCGGGUCUAGGAAGAACAAAGCUCAGGGAUCAGCAAGACUAGUGCUGGGAAUUGGGCCGGGUCGGGCCGGCCCGGCCCAAGCCCAUCAUACUUCGUGCCGAAUGGGUUCGGGCCAGAAAAGCCAAAAAAACUUUUGGGCCAUGCCGUGCCAGCCUGAAGUGUAAAAACAGUGGCCUAGCCCGGCCCUAAACCACGCCGUGCCUUUGUUGGGCCGUGCCGGCCCAAGCCCGACCCAUAUAUUUGACCACAUAAAAUCAAAAUAUUACAACCACAUAUAGUCCAUAAUUUACUAAAUUAAAGAUAUUAAACAAUCCUAACAUCAUUUGACCACAUAAACUCCAAAUAUCACAAUAAUAUAAAGUUGAUAACUUACUAAAUUAAAGAAACUAAACAACUUGGGCUUCAUGGGGCCGUGCCGGCCCAAGCCCGGCCCAUCGGUGCGGGCUGUGUCGGGGGUCGACGAGCCAGAAUUUGAGGCCCGACCUAGGCCCGCCUACGGACCGUGCUAGCCCGACCUGUAUUAUUUCGUGCCCGGAUCGUGCUUUGGGCUCCUGUUUUCGGGCCGUGCUCGUGCUGACCCAAAAAACUCUGCCCAUAUUCUUAGCACUAGGCAAGACUCAAGAGAGGGGCAACUGGGCAGGCAAUUCGCCCAUCUGACGUGGGAUGUAGGCAUCCGCGUUCCGCAUCACCAUAGGUCCAUAACGUCUAGCUACACCAAUCGGUUUCACCGUUUCACUUUCUCGUGCCGUCAGAGUAGAUCGCCCCGCAAACAUACAAUGCUCUUAAAGAGCAUGUGUGGAUACUCACAAACAUACAAUUCGUAUAGGACUAAAAUAUAACGCUCACAAGUACCCUGGCAAAAUGCUCGUACAUUGCUACUGUUUCCAUUUAUGCUUGAACUAGUGUGGUUAAUUUGUGGGAACUAAAGGGUCCAUCUGGAAAGUAACGGCCUGGUUGUUAGGUGAGACGUGUGGAGAAAAACAAAUGUACUCUAUGUGCUUCGCUUCGCGUGUGAUGCGCGACACACAAAACUCAUGUUUUAAAGGAGUAGAGAUAGAGAUAUUCCUCAACCCGUUUUUUGACCCCCUUGGCCCCAUGAUCUAGGAACUUUGUGAUUGUUGUCUUGUUUCUAAGGUGUCCUUUAGUUUUUGCUAAAGUAUGUAAUAUUAAGGGUUACUUGGAUACCGAGGCGUGGUUAAUUUGUGGGAACGAAACCGAACAUGCGGUUGCAUGGCAAUUGAGAUGGAGUUGUGAUUAAAUGAUUGUUUACUUGGUGAUUACUGUGGAGUUGCUAUUAAAAGCAAACUAAAGCAUUUAGCCUGCAUGUAUCCAUGAGAAAUUGCUGGAUGCUAACCGCUGUGGAUCGCAAUGUGGCACCUGAACGCGGCACCCGUCAGGGAGUUACUCAUAUCCACAAGUGCAAAGAUUGAUGGCCCCAUCUUGGUAUUUGUUUUUUAUCCGUCGCACUCGCACCAUAGAAGCUGGACCUGCAGGAGUAUUACUCAAUAUGACUUUAUUUUAUGGAAUGCAACGAUUCAGAUUUUCAUGGUCACCAAUUCAGUCAAGUUCUCGUGUCAUCUUUUAAACAGUAUUUUAUAGAAAACCAUUUGAAUAAUUCUAUUUAUAUUGCAUACCAACCUUUUCUGAUUAGUAGGUUCUAACCAUUAUUAAGUGUUUCUUUUUUAAGUAUAGACACCUCUUUACCCUCAUCCAUCCAGCUGGCUAGAAUGCUCGGUCCCUUUAUGCAAGGCUGCAUAGGCAAGCUGAACGCUAGCAGUCAUGUAUUUUUUUGUUAAUUAAUGUCUGCAAGCGUCUGGGCCAAACAGAUUGCCCAAGCGACUCAACAGCAUGUACCUGACCAGAGGAGGUGUCUAUCCAUCUUAAAUUCUGGGUAGGCUGAUGGUCUGGUUUUUAUUUUAUUGAUGACUGAAUUCAUGACUGCAUUUUGGCAAAAACCACUGAUGUCACAUUCGAAAUUCACUUUGUUUUUUUUUCUUUUCACUUCCUAGGGGGACUAAGUUGCCAAAUCAUCUGUUUCAUCCUCCUGGGUCCUAACUAGUUUUUUUUAGUACUUCUCAAGUUCUGAUGAUAUUUAAAACUGAAUUACUGAAACACAUGUUUUAUGGUUGUAACUAUAAAACACUUCUUGUAAUUGACUAGUGGAAUGUAAGCCUGAUUUAUAUGGCUACAGUAUUCUGGGAAAAAAAUCUGAUUCUCAACAGUCAACUCUAGCACCAGUCUACUAAGGACUCAUUCCCUUGACCUGCUGAUACGGUUGCUACUUGUCUGAUCCUCUUUUUAGCUCAGGGAUUUCAUGUAGUUGAUGCAUCUAGAUACAUUUGGACCAUGAAUCUUGUGGUUGUGUCACAAGCCCGCAAGGCUAGAUAUCCUGGAUUCUAUUCACCUCUAACCACAGAGCCAUGUUUUCCUCCGAUUUACCGCUCUGCGAUCUAUCUAUGUGUACUCUGUUUUUCAGGACCAAAUAUGUGUAGCCUGUUGAAAUUCCUGAAUAGUAUCAGGAAAACGACCUAGUGCUUGAAAAAAAAUCAGUGUAUAGCUAGCACUGCAUGUACUGAACUGGCAUAAACCUCUCUACAUUUACUCCUUGAGUAACUUUUUAGCUAGGUUCCUUGAUUCAAACUUGCUAUAUGUUAUUCCACGGAUAGUCAAUCUAAACCAAUUUAAUGUUUCCAGAGCAUGUUAUGUGUUAUGUACCAUGAUGUUGCUCAUGUUUUGUGUAACCUCUCUAGUUUCUAUGAUCUGUUCACUGAACUUGAUGACUACUGUACUCAGGUUAUUCUGGCUCCUCGACUCCUGGUCAUUCAGAUGGUGAUUCUUCUAACAGAACGGUAUAUGUUGGUGGGCUUGACCCCAAUGUCAGUGAAGAUGAACUGAGAAAAGCCUUUGCCAAAUAUGAUCUUGCCUCUGUGAAAAUUCCUCUAGGAAAGCAAUUGCUUUGUUCAAUUUGUUAGCAGAACUGAUGCUGAAGAAGCACUACAAGGAUUAAAUGGAUCACUCAUUGGAAAGCAGGCAGUUCGCCUUUCAUGGGUCCGCAGCCCAUCGCAUAAGCAGUCUAGGGGUGACUCCGUCAACAGGAGGAACAACAUGUACUAUGGCACACCAUUCUACGGCGGAUAUGGCUAUGCCUCCCCGGUGCCACACCCAAACAUGUACGCUGCAGCGUAUGGCACGUACCCGCUAUAUGGCAACCAGCAGCUAGUGAGCUAGAGAGCUCCCCUCCGACGUGUCCCCUCUGACGGGAAACAAAGGUUUUGGUCCGGUGAGCAUAGUAGCGUCAGGUGAGAAGGUGCCUUUAUAAGGCUGUCCUAAGAAGUGGGCGAGAUAUGUUGUUGCAUCGUUAUCGUUAUGGUGCCUGUAACUGUUGUGUGUGCCGUGUGCGUCCGGAAGAAUUGGAUGGAAUGGAACUCGUGGCUUGUUGUAGUACAUCAGAGAGUCAUGUUAUUCUUUCAAGAAAUUUUGACUUGGUAAUAAAUUAAACUAUUGUUUGUGCGUCCA